rnacentral:rRNA from 1 species
UAGGGAAUCUUCCACAAUGGACGAAAGUCUGAUGGAGCAACGCCGCGUGAGUGAAGAAGGGUUUCGGCUCGUAAAGCUCUGUUGGUAGUGAAGAAAGAUAGAGGUAGUAACUGGCCUUUAUUUGACGGUAAUUACUUAGAAAGUCACGGCUAACUACGUCGCC